rnacentral:rRNA from 1 species
AGCGAACGCUGGCGGCAGGCUUAACACAUGCAAGUCGAGCGGGCCCUUCGGGGUCAGCGGCAGACGGGUGAGUAACGCGUGGGAACGUGCCCUUCGGUUCGGAAUAACUCAGGGAAACUUGAGCUAAUACCGGAUACGCCCUUAUGGGGAAUGGUUUACUGCCGAAGGAUCGGCCCGCGUCUGAUUAGCUAGUUGGUGAGGUUAUGGCUCACCAAGGCGACGAUCAGUAGCUGGUCUGAGAGGAUGAUCAGCCACACUGGGACUGAGACACGGCCCAGACUCCUACGGGAGGCAGCAGUGGGGAAUAGUGGACAAUGGGGGCAACCAUGAUCCAGCCAUGCCGCGUGAGUGAUGACGGCCUUAGGGUUGUAAAGCUCUUUUCUCCGGGACGAUAAUGACGGUACCGGAGGAAUAAGCCCCGGCUAACUUCGUG